UGAUGAUGAUGAUGAUGAUGAUGAUGAUGAUGAUGAUGAUGGAUAAUGAUGAUAAUACUGAACAUCAUCAUCAUCAUCAUCAUCUCCGCCAUGGUCG
rnacentral:pre_miRNA from 1 species